CCCUUAGAUGAUUUGGGCUGCACGCGCGUUACACUGAUGCAUUCAACGAGCUUAUAACCUUGGCCGAGAGGCCUGGGCAAUCUUGUUAACGUGCAUCGUGAUAGGGAUAGAUUAUUGAAAUUAUUAAUCUUGAACGAGGAAUUCCUAGUAAACGCAGAUCAUCAAUCUGCAUUGAUUACGUCCCUGCCCUUUGUACACACCGCCCGUCGCACCUACCGAUUGGAUGGUCCGGUGAAGCCUCGGGAUUGUGGUUCUUGCCGCUUUAUUGUGGCGUGACCGCGAGAACUUGUCUAAACCUUAUCAUCUAGAGGAAGGUGAAGUCGUAACA
rnacentral:rRNA from 1 species